rnacentral:lncRNA from 1 species
GCCGGGCGCGCGGGCCGAGAGGGGGACGUUUUCUGGCGCGGACCGCCAGCGGAGGCUGCGAGCGCCGCCGCAGGAGAAGACUGACGCUCAGCCGGAGCCAGCCCGCGGCGCCCGGGCCUGGCCGGCUGCCUCCCUUCACCUCAGCCGCCGCUGCCGCAGGCACUGCCAAGGCGGGCGCAGAGGAACGCUCGGCCACUCGGCCCUGCCCGGGCCGGCGCGGCCCGGAGCCGCGGCGCGGGAGGUUCCCCAGGAAGCCAUCACACUUUCCUUCUCACUGUGGUUUUGGGAGCAUGAAGGCGUUGCUUACUCCCUUUGUCUGGUUCACUGUAUGUAGGCUGGGAGUGUCUGCUGAUGCCUUGGAGUGCUGUCUCCUAGAACAGGAGGAAUAAGAUUGAGCAGAUAUUUAUGGAACACAUAUGUGUCAGCUGAAGAGGAGACACUGACCUUGGCUUCUAAGAUUCUGCACUAUCCUGAUUCUCUGCCUGCCUCUCAGAUGUUUAAAAACCCCUUCCUUUUUCCUCCUGGAUGUGGAUGUAACCCAGCUGCCUCCAUAGAGAAUGAAAUGAAUCUUUCAUUUGCUCCCCUCAGCAGUGGCCUAGGGCUUUACUCCUACUUAUUCAAAACUCCUGGGACUGGCUCUGCAGGGAUGUGCUUCUCAGAGACCUCUUGGAUGAAGGGCAUAAGCCAGGGAAGCUUUACAAGGCGGGCAGUGUACACAAGGAACCUCAGCCCUUGGCUAUUUUAAAGAGGAUGUGGAUAGCAGAGAUUCAGUGGUAAAAGUGAAAAUUUGACUUUGCAAAUGUAGUAUUAACUUCAGUUAUUGAGAAAAUUUGCCCUUGAUGGUUAAUUACAUUUAUAAAAUAACCUGUGUGUAUCAUUUAUAUAUCAGAUUGAUUUUGUUUUUU